UAAAAACUUUUCUUUUAGAAUGCUGGCCACAAAAAUGUUUAUUGAAUUCGAAUGUCGAAUUGUUCAUGAAAAUAAAAAUGUAUACUUUUAGAAUUUUACUCAUUUUUAAAUAUGGAGUGGACGCUUAAAGAAGACCGUGUUGCAGUUAUUGCGUUGCAUCGUUGCGGUUACGCGCCAAUUCAAAUUUUUAACAUACUGAAAAAUUUGAAUAUAACCAAAAGAUUCGUUUAUCCUACCAUCAAACGAUACAAUGAAGACUCUAGUGUAGAUGACAGGUCAAGAAGUGGUCGCCCUCGGUCUGUUAGGACUCCAGCAGUGAUAAAAGCUGUGAAGGCGCGAAUUCAAAGAAAUCCCAAACGUAAGCAGAAACUGUUGGCCCUUCAGAUGGGGUUAAGCAGAAACACGGUGAAAAGGGUGUUAAAUGAAGACUUAGGGCUUCGGGCAUAUCGAAGAAAAACAGGACAUCGUUUGAAUGCUCGUCUAAUGGACCUGAGACUGAAGAGAUGCCGCGCUUUGUUGAAGCGGUACGCGGGAAAAAAAUAUCGGGAAAUUCUUUUUUCGGAUGAAAAAUUUUUUACCGUAGGAAAGAGCUACAACAAACAAAAUGAUAAGGUGUACGCACACAGUAGUGAAGAAGCGAGCAAGCGUAUUCCGCGUGUCCAACGAGGUCAUUUUCCAUCCUCGCCCAUGGUAUGGUUGGGAGUUUCUUAUUGGGGCUUAACAGAUGUAAAUUUUUGUGAGAAAGGUGUAAAAACGAACGCAGUUGUGUAUCAAAAUAUAGUCCUGACGAACCUUGUGGAACCUGUUUCUCAUACCAUGUUCAAUAACAGGCACUGGGUAUUCCAACAAGAUUCGGCGCCAGCUCAUAGAGCGAAGAGCACACAAGACUGGCUGGCGGCGCAUGAAAUCGACUUCAUCCGGCACGAAGACUGGCCCUCCUCUAGUCCAGAUUUGAAUCCGUUAGAUUACAAGAUAUGGCAACACUUGGAGGAAAAGGCGUGCUCAAAGCCUCAUCCCAAUUUGGAGUCACUCAAGACAUCCUUGAUUAAGGCAGCCGCCGAUAUUGACAUGGACCUCGUUCGUGCUGCGAUAGACGACUGGCCGCGCAGAUUGAAGGCCUGUAUUGAAAAUCACGGAGGUCAUUUUGAAUAAACUUUAGUGUCAUAAGAAUCUAUGUUUUGUUAAGUUCAUUUUGGUAUAUGAAUGGUUACAUAAUGAAUAAACUUGUUUCAAUUAUUUUACAUUAAACAUGUGACAGAAUUUAUGACCUGGCUAAGUACAAGCAUAUCUAGUACAACAUUCUUUCUACCCACUAGAUGCAUAUAGGUAUAUUUGACUUAUCAGCUUUUUUUAUUUGUUUGCUUUUAAUUAAUUAUAUCGAACCAAUAUAAGAAUUUAAGUAUCAUUAAGUUGAAACGAGAUUGAGAGAUUUGCUGUUAAAUAAAUUAUUUCGGCCUAAAUACUUAACAAUGGGUAAUUUGUGCGACGGCCUAAGCCCUCUGGAAGCAAUCACGUAGAAAACUUUAAGUAUUCACUGUUUAUUUUACCGCACAGCCAAGUUUAAUUUCGUCAUUUGUUUUCAAGAACCAUUUCCCAUUAUCACAUUGUGUUUCACAUUCCUCGGCAAUCGGCAAUUGUUUAAUGCAGUACUGAUAGCUUGACGUGUGUCGUCGGUAAUCAGGUGUGUUAUUCGCAACAGGAUGAACAUUGUUACGACUCCUUUUUUCGUGAUACUGAUGAUAUUUAUACCGAUGGCGAAGAGCACUAUUCCUGGCACAUUCUUCUGGAAACCUCGAUUAGGGAUCGAUUUGAAUCUUCCAACAACCGAAAAGAAAUUUCGUGCCUUCUUGCCAACGAAGCAUAACAUAGAAGAAGGCGUAGUAGUUCUCAUAGAUGGCUAUAAAAUAGGGAUGACUAUCAUCGCUUUCGCUGCCGGCUUAUCAAGUGCUGACAGCUUUUUACAUCUCAAUCCCAUAUCAGCUUACUACCACACGAACGUUUACCGAUGGGCACUCAGAUAUGUCAGUCUAUUCCCGGUGUGGUUUACCGGCAACGGUGGCAAUUAUUGCGAGACGCUUAGGGUAUGGCGAAGACGUUUCCAUUACAUGGAUCAGUUCGUACCGAAUUGGCUAAGGCCUAUGUUUCCGUACGUCAAAAAAGACGAAUGGGUGAAAGAAGAAAAUGAGUUCAAGAGAUUUAAAAAAUACGCCGAGCCAUCAUUCGGCAAGCACUACCGUUAUCCAUCAAAGAUCUUUCACAACUUCAAAUCGGAAGAAACUAAAGAAACCAUAGAAAACGUAGACGAUUCGUCUGAUUCAUUAUAAAGUCGCUUCAGGUACCUACUUCGAAAGAUUUAUUUGGCGGAAUAUUGUCUGUUUUACUACUACUACUCUACUGUCGUUAAUAUUUAGUACUAAAUAAGGAAUUCAUUAAAAUUUUAAAUAAAACAUAGUUUUAAAAUUUAUAA